AAACGGUUUCUUGGGCGAUUCAGGCAAAGAAUUUCCCAUAUAAGGACUGUAUCGUUAAUUAUGAGUACACCUGGAAAUAGCUGUAGGGUAAUUGUUCCCAUUGUUGUGGUAGUACCUAAUGUUGCGGUAAUGGCAAUUGAGCACUUUUUCGACUGAAAUGUUACCAAAAGGUAUUUUUAAUAGAUGUAUGCAUUAGCAUUAGCAUUAGCAUUAAGCGAGUCGCACAAAUUCGUAGGUGGUACAGUCCUAGACCGCUGUUAUGAGGGUUGCCUCCUUCCCGUCCGAACCAAAGCACAAAGAUUUGGAACUAAUCUCUGACUCUUAGACAAGACUGACGCAAUCCUCCAAUGGUCGAGCACUGUCCUGGCCACGUCCUUGCGACUGCUGAGGAAUGGGAAAGGAUGGUUAGUUUUGGACACCUAUGAAAAAUGUAGACAACUCUACGAUCUCUCAGGCCUAGGUGUCACGGGAAUUUGGGUGUUGUUAGUGGAAGGGUAAACUUCAAAGGAUACGCUUGGUUAGCGUUCAGGCACACCAUUGUUAGACUGCUUCGAAUCAGUUGUCUGCCUAAUUCAUCCUGGUUUCCUCGUCAUCUUGUUGGCAUUUGGUUGAAUUACUAGAUUCUUCGGUUGAUAAUCUGAAAUAUAAAAUAAUAUUAACAUCGUACGUCAAAUAAGCUACAUAUUAGUGGUACGCUCGCCACAGUUACAUAUUUAAAAAAAAAAAAAAUAUUAAUAUUGUACGAUACAUUUACCUGAAUCCUGCUGAAAUAAAAUGUUAAUUAGCAGUACUACACAAACACUACAAAACACAAGGAAAAGAGCAUCAAACUUUGAUCUUGGAAUAUUUAAAGGUACGGUAAAUAUCAAAAUCAAAAUUUGAUUUGGUAGAUCUUACACCGCAACGCACCAUUCUAAGGUGAUCUACCCACGUUGCGGGGAUGCUUUUGGAAUUUGGAGCUCAGCUCCCGAAAUACAAACUAUUUGAACUCGAACGAUUUAGUUGAAGUGACACAGCGUUCGACUAUUGAUUUAGAAUAAUAAAUUACUUCGAAUUUAGUUUGUACUCCACUUUUUUUCUCGCGUCACGCUAAUAAACUUUGAAUUGAUUA